AUAUUGUUAUCAAAUCAUAAGAAGUUAGUAACAAACAAUAACACACACACAAUACAGCGUUUUGGUCUUAUCUACACUGUAUACAAGUGACCUCUAAAAAACAAGAUUGCCGUGUUGCACGACAUCUCAGGAGUACCAGAAAGCAGGGGGGAAAACUACAGCCAUGCUGGAUUCUUCAGAGGGGUAACAAUAGCUUUGACUUGCAAGUAGUUACUUAGGCUGUAGACUCCCUUCUCUCUUCCAUGUCCACUCAUCUUAUAACCACCAAACGGAAUGGCAGCAUCAAAGAUG
rnacentral:misc_RNA from 1 species